AGGACACGGACUCCCUGCUUAAAAUAGCACCAUGAGCGAGGUCUAUCAUGCAUCUCCGGACAUUAGCGCUGGAGGUUCGGCGACGAGUGAUCGCAGUGUGAAGGGUGGAAGGGAGUGACAGGGACGGGAGUGGAGCCUUAUCGACGACAAACCCCAGGGACGCGCCAGCUGAUGCUUCGGGAUGGAUUUCGAAGCUUCGGAUCUUUUUGCUUCGUAUUGCGUGUUGAAUGAGUCGAGGGUAACUUCCUAUUAGACAUGAGCUAUUAUAUUCGUUUCAUUUCCCGUAUUGGUAAUGUGGUAAAAUUUGGGAGGCUGUCUGCAGUGGUGAGUGUACAGAAAGGAAAGUUUUUCAUUAAGUUGAGCUUGAAGACAAAUUGUAUAGCACUCGCUUGGGUCCAGAAGCCUUGAUAGACACUGCGGUGGCAUUUUCUGUAAUGGGUAUUUCUUACCAGAUAUGCAUACACAUGUGUGUUUGUGUAGGUAUGACUGA